GGAGAGUCGAAGUCGUUCUUCAGAAAGUCGACGAGCGUCACAAAAGCGUACGGAAUGUCGGAGAUUCACACCAAGAACUUGUACAUGGGCAUGGUGGUCAUAGACAUCGCCAGGUACGAGUUGUUUCUGGAUGCCAUUGGGUCCGACCAUCUCAACCCCGAGUUUCUCAAAGAUUUUAUGAGCUUGCCGCUACAAUACUAUGCACCGGGAGGUCCAGACUUACUACAUGACUUCGUUCUACGCUGGGGAACUCACUAUAUCAAAGCCAGUCUGUUCGGAGGUCAACUCGAAUUUUGCAAGGUCGGAUCCAGAGAGAUGUAUCAGAGUAAGGAGGCGUCUGCUGAGGAAAUUCGUGAGGACGUGGAGCGCUUUUUCCACAGCUACCACUCGGUAGAAUUCAACAAAGUGACAGUGGAAACGGGAAAGAUCACUGAAUGGGAGUCCAUGUCUCUAUCAGUGGCAGGAGGCGAGCAGGAGAUUGUUUCAGCUCUGGCUUACAUGUAUGCACCCGGAUUCAAGACAGCAUUUCUCUCUUGGCUCGACUCUCUAGCCAAGUAUCCUAAACUGUAUAAGUUUACCCUAAACUGUAUAAGUUUACCCUUGGACGUAUAACCGAUCUUGUCGACUUCAAAGAAAGUGAUCUCUUUCUUCAAGAAGAUGCUGAACAGAAAUGGGGCUGUGAGGCUAAGGAUGCGAAUGGUGAUUUAGAGUUUGAUGAAGACAGGAAUAUGCAUUAUUACAAUAUCAGUGUCGAGAUCACAAAGCCUGGUAUAAAUGCUACAGCGGAGUGGGUGCAGAAGAGGAUCUACUGUCCUUACUUGGAUCGGAAAUAAUUGACACAUGAAAUACAACUGCAAAAGAAGGCGCUGGAGAUAGCUGUAACUGUGUACCUAGAGGAGGAACCUUUGUCAACACGAUAUGUGUAUGUUUCUUUGGGAGCUCUUAGCUUGUAAGAGUGACGAGGAAGAUGAAGAUUUCGUACCAUUUAAGUGGGACGAUCUCAGUGGGGAGGGAGACAAGACUCUUAGGGUGGAGUUUGAUAUGUCAGCAUCAUUGCAGGGAUCGGGUGGUCUGUUAAUUCCCGAAAAAUCAGUAGGGACAUAACAUUCCAUUGACUUCUUUAUCUCUACAACGGCUACAACAGUGGUGAUUUGGCAUCCAAGAGACUCUCAAUGCUUGGUCUUGUUCUCAAUUAUGACGCUAACGGAGGCAUUAUGUUUGUCUCUAUGGAUGGCUACAAUCAGAGCACUUAGUGACAUUAAAGAGUUUGGAAUCUCGAAUCGGGGAAGCAUUAGCAAGAGUUUACUAGUUGGAAGGAGAUCCAGAUACUCUGAAAGAGAGGGACUAUCCCUGUAAUGCACAAUGGUCGAACAGUCGAUGCAUGAAAUCCGAUCAGUGUCUUCACUUUUCCGCAGCCACAGCAGAAGUGAUCUUUGUAACUCUGGCAGCCAGUCUGGUUGAUAUCACCACAUGGUAGUACAUGAAGAUAUCAAUCAGUCAAGUGGCUGUAUAUAAGGAAAGAGAAAAGAGAAACUCAACGAAGUAACUGGUAGCUCUUAGCCUCAGAGACAGGACCCUGUUUUGAGACUUUGUCGUCUGCACUCACAAAGAAGAGACGAAUGAUGGAUACAUGCAGGUUCUGUAUGGCACCACAGCCACCAGUGGUGGAGACUCGGUUCUUUUGCUCCCCUUCUACGAUCCUGUGAAGGGGUCCAUCUCCAUCGAGUACUUUGGGUUUGGCAACGGCAAUGACGAUGUUCAGAUUGACGACAUCGAGUUGAGAGACUACAAUGAAAGCACUCUCGUCUGUGUCAGAGAUGAUAAUGGAAUCUGCAUUCCGAGAGAUUGUCCACCCUAGUGUGAUACAGUUUUGGGUUGUCGUGAGGAGGAGCUCGCUAUAUAGUUGGUGGGUGUGCAACGAGUAGAAGAGAUUGACUACAAGUAGGUCUUCCUACUAAGACACAAAGUAUGACCUUUGCUGUUGCUGUUCCUGUUGUGUAGUAUCCUUCCUGCUGUAGCAUUUGCUUCUGCUGAGCCUAGGGAAAUGGAAAUAUUUGUGAGGUUUCGUGGCUGGCAGAUGUAGUUAUUGAGUAAUUUAAAUGUAGUCUGUCAUUGCAUUUU